CCUUUCCGGUUACUUCUUCCUCUCGCGAGCCUUGCGUCAGAGCCGCGUCGGGAAGUGUCCUCCGAGCUCGGAGCUGUGCGGCUCGAGCGCCGGAAAGGACUAAAGAUUAGAUUGUAGGAAAAGUAGAAGCAAUGUUUCGAAGACCUGUGUUGCAGGUGUUUCAUAAAUUUGUAAGACAUGAGUCUGAAGUAGCAAGCAGCUUGGUUCUGGAAAGAUCUCUGAAUCGUGUGCAGUUAUUGGGGCGAGUUGGUCAGGAUCCUGUCAUGAGACAAGUGGAAGGAAAAAACCCAGUCACAAUAUUUUCUCUGGCAACAAAUGAGAUGUGGAAAUCAGGAGACAAUGAAGCAUACCAAAUGGGUGACGUCAGUCAAAAGACAACAUGGCACAGGAUUUCAGUAUUCCGCCCAGGCCUCAGAGAUGUGGCAUAUCAGUAUGUGAAAAAGGGGUCUCGAAUUUAUGUGGAAGGGAAAGUAGAUUAUGGUGAAUAUAUGGAUAAAAAUAAUGUGAGGCGACAAGCAACAACAAUCAUAGCUGAUAACAUUAUAUUUCUGAGUGACCAGCCAAAAGAGAAGGCAUAGAGCGGACCAUUCUUCUUUGGCCAAUGUUUGGUAGGCGCUCAACCACUGAGCCACGCUGGCCUGGCUCCUGGGAUUUGCUUUAUUGGAUAUGCUGGGAUGACAGACAUGGAGACACCUGCCUUUGAGAGAGAAGUUUCUUACGUACUGUUCCCAAGAGGAGGAACAACACCCAACCAUGUAGGACCACGCGGGAAGCUCCAGGACCCUCAUAUAUGGCUGUUUCAUGUCUGAAAUGAAAGCCAUCUGGGACCAUGAGACGAUCUUCAGGAUGGAAGACAGAAGAAACUGGGAUCCUUGAUGACUAUGGAGCCAUCGUCAGUCCUGGCAGUCUACCUCUGGACUCCUGUGGGAGACACAAAUAAAACUUAUUUAAGCCA